GUGAUCUCAAAAUACUGGCAACAAUGAAGGAGGACCUGUCUUAUCUGCUUUAUACAUAUCAGAUGAAACACUGGCGUCUGUCGGACAUCUGUUGAAGACAUCUACAGGAUCCUUACCUGUUCAUAUCGCGAGAGAUUCAGAUGGCAAAACUCCAGGCUUCACUGCCUUUGAAGAUGUAUACAUGCCAGUUUUAGAGGAAUCGGUGGGGGGG